rnacentral:rRNA from 1 species
AAUCAACGCUGGCGGCGUGCUUAACACAUGCAAGUCGAGCGGUAAGGCCCUUUCGGGGGUACACGAGCGGCGAACGGGUGAGUAACACGUGGGUGACCUGCCCUUAGCUCUGGGAUAAGCCUGGGAAACUGGGUCUAAUACCGGAUAUGACUCCAUAACGCAUGUUGUGGGGUGGAAAGCCUUGUGCGGCUAGGGAUGGGCCCGCGGCCUAUCAGCUUGUUGGUGGGGUGAUGGCCUACCAAGGCGACGACGGGUAGCCGGCCUGAGAGGGCGACCGGCCACACUGGGACUGAGACACGGCCCAGACUCCUACGGGAGGCAGCAGUGGGGAAUCUUGCGCAAUGGGCGAAAGCCUGACGCAGCGACGCCGCGUGGGGA